CUGGCCAGGGACCCUGACCUGGUUUGACCUUGGACCUGCCUCAUCACCAGGGACUUGCCCAACGAUACGGACUCUUGGUUGAACCUGGCUGCCAUCUCCGGCCCUGCCUUGCGGAGCUGGGUGGGGAGGGCCCCCCGGCUCCCAGCCAGCCCUUAUUCAAACUUAUUCAAAAAGGAGAGACAACCACAGGAGGAAGGCUAAGCCUGACUUUGAGUGGCUGGAUGACGUGGGCAGCCCAUAGUAAUGGGUUAGAUGAGGAAGGCCUAUAUCCAGUGGUACAGUUUGCCUUUACCUCUUUGCAUCUUGUGCAUGAGAUAAAGGAUCUGGAGACAGAAGCAGCAGCUCUGUGCCUAUUUGAUACUUGGAAGAUGAGUAGAAGAUAGAAGCUCCUGUUUUUCAGAUCUGCGUGAAGAAACUGUUUUGAUGUCGCAGAAAUACUCAGCUGCAUUCUACCAGCUUUGCUUUUAUAUAGGGCAGAUAUAAUCUACCACUAAAAUGCUUCACAUGUUUAGUAUUAUCUCUUCAUAAAAAGAUGCUAUAAAGGCUUGUUAUUGGUUAAUUAUUGCUAUAUGCAAGAGCCAGGAAAUCUGUGGUUGUGAGUGUUUUGUAGCAGUUGGUAAUAAAACCCCAAUUGUUCAGAUAUAACUAGAAUCAUAAACAAAUACUGGCUAGUGAUAAGCCGUUAUGCAGUAUGUCUGCACAAAUAAAAUCUGCAAUUUUUUAAACUA